AACAACUCCUUUAAAAAAAGAACUAUUUACGAGAGGUGUAGGGAAACCAAAUGGGAUAGUACAGGCUACGGGGACAAUAAAUGACUGUGGGACUCUUACCACCCUGGGCCUGAAUGGGUAAGGGCAGAGAGCGUUACGGGAGUCUGGAAGGAGACAAUCGAAUGGAGAGGGUCAUUUGGAGAGGAGAUGGGCCCGUCGGCUGGGGGCCUUAGCCAGCCUGAGCGACCCUGUGAGAAGGGAGCCAAAGGAAUGACUACUCCAGCCUCAGUCUCCUUCUUCUCUGGGAUCUUGUGCUGCACCCUCACCCAACCCCCACCUCCCUCGCUGACCCAACCCCAUCAGGAGCCUCUUAAUGUAGUACAGACUGAGAAGAUAGUGGGUGUGAUUUCUCUCCUUCAAGCAAAAAUCUUCAGCGUCCAUAAUAAUGGCCCAGAUCUUAUUGCCGGCUAGGAGGUGAUACGUACAAGGAAUCUGCGUUUCCCAGUGUCGUUUGCAGACGUAUCUCUGACACGUUUUUAUGGCCAUGCGCACAGCAAUCUCAGUGUUUCUCACCCCUGAAUGUUGGAUUCGUUUGUACAUUUUCACUAUGGGAAUGAAUAUUUUUCUACUUGUGUCUUUGUGCACGUAUGACCUCUUCUCCAGCGGGAUCACUGGAAGUGAGUACUGAUUUCAAGAACGGGCGCUUUAUGAGAAAUGCUGUCGAGUUCUUCUCCGUGAAGGCUGUGCAAUCGACAUGUUAUCAUCAGUGCGCGACAGCAUGUUUCCCUGCAGCCUCGCUACAGUGGAUAUUAUCAGUUAUUGUGGUUUGUGUUAUUCUCCUGGGUGCAAAUAUAGUAUUUGUUGAUUUAA